rnacentral:rRNA from 1 species
GACGAACGCUGGCGGCGUGCUUAACACAUGCAAGUCGAACGGAAAGGCCUGCUUUCCCUUGUGGGUUGCGGGUACUCGCGUGGCGAACGGGUGAGUAUCACGUGAGUUAUCUGCCCCCAACUUGGGUAUAAGCCUGGGAAACUGGGUCUAAUUCCCGAUAGGACUGCAGGGUGGUUCCUGUGGUGGAAAACGAUGUUCUAGUGGUUGGGGAUGAGCUGGCGGUCUGUCAGCUUGUUGGUGGGGUAAUGGUCGACGAGGGGGGGGAUGGGGAGGCAGCCAGGGAGGGGGGACGGCCACAGUGGGACUGAGACACGGCCCAUACGCCUACGGGAGGCAGCAGUGGGGAGUAAUGAACGGGGAGCGGAAGCCAGUUGCAGCGAGGCCGCGUGGGGGAUGACGGGCUUGGGAUUAUAGCCUUCUUGCGACCAAGAGGAAGCCACCUGGAUGGAGGGGUAGUGACGGUAGUGGUAGAAGAAGCACCGGCUAACUACGUG